CACCUGGGACUCCAGAUGUUGGAGGCGGUAGCGUUGGAGGCCUUGGGAGUGGGGCCAUCUGCAUUGGCAUGGAACCAGGUGGAGCGCCUGGUUGUGGCAUGGAACCAGGUGGAGCGCCCGGUUGUGGCAUGGACCCAGGUGGGGCGCCUGGUUGCUGCAUGGUUGGUGGAGGACCAGGAUAACCUGAAAUAUUUGAAAAAACAGGAACACAAAGUAGUCAUUGGUUGGUUUGAAUAAGUGAAAUGUAUCAGGAUAUCGAUGGUCUUUAUGAAAAAUGUAAAUGGCAUUCUUCCAAAGGCUAACUUAUCAGCUGUGCAAAGUCAGCACAACAUUAAGCAACUACCUCCAUCCAUAAGCAUUUCUAGGAAUUUUAGAAGAUUAAAGAGGAAGCAAAAUGACUGGUAACCUUUCAUCAAUCGCUAAGAUUACUGAGGUGCAGUGUCUUUACAGAGAUGCCAGAAACAGAAGGCUCCAGCUAAAAUUUUGAACACCAACAUUACAUUGGUACAAACAAGUAUUUUUUUUAGUUAUGAGGGAGAGAUAGGGUUCAUUACACAGAAAAUUCUUACAUCUGUAGACAAAUUUGAAUGCUAGUAGUAGUAAAUAAGGAUGGGGGAGAGGGAGGGUUGAUUAAGGAUGCUUAUAAUACUUACACAUUUAUCUGCAUAAUUAUAGACACACAAUCUAUUUAUCAACUGAUAGAAACAUAGUACCGUGGUUUGAGAUAAACGUGAAAACAGAAAAUAUAUCAGAAUACUCUAAUUUAAGCAUUUUAGAUCUCCAAUUCUCCACUCAUCACAAACCAAGUGAUUAAUUACUUUGGCAAAGGUAAAAAACUGGGGGAGGUUUUGAGAACAUUUACAGCUUGUUCUAAAAGUUUUGUUUCAUUCCCCAGAAAAAAUAUCAGUACAGAACAGUUUGCACAUUUGCAGAAAAUGAAGACCAGUUUCUUCUGGAUUAGAACUGUGCAAAGGGUUUAUAGAUCGGUUAAAGUCAUUAGUAUCAGGUUGUACCCGAAAUAAUGAAAUCCAUGAAAUUUCAUGGUACGAAUACGAAAUAAACCAAACCUAAUUAACCAACUAUGGUAGGUAACGAGUGUACCAAUGCCCUAAUAAGCAACAUGAAAAUAGAAUGUACUGUGCAGAUACAUGCAGAAGAACCUGAAUCGGGUCAUAGCAAACAAGUAGCACUCUUUGUGGAACAUUCAACUUUUGAUAUUUGUUCUGCUAAGGUUAGAGGCAGGGGUAAAUGUAGUUAUUUCGUCUUUGAUGAAGAAAACAAUAUUAGAAUUAAUGGGGCUAGCAAUCAUAAUGAAUGAUACAAAUAGCAG
rnacentral:lncRNA from 1 species